rnacentral:lncRNA from 1 species
CCAGCUUUUUCGUUUUUAAUUGUUUCCUUAAUUAUAGGUUUUGUUGUUACCUUAUUUAUCUAUUAUUUAUUUUCAAAAAUUUUAUAAAUCAUAUAAUAAUUCGAAUUUAUGAGUUUUAAUUGCAGAUUUUUUUUAUUUAUUUGUUUCAAGAUUUUAUUAUUUAGUUUUCGAAAUUAAUUUUGUUUUUCGAAAUUAAUAUUUAUUUGUUUCAAAUUUUUAGUAUUAUUUAUUUUUCGGAUUUGUUUUUUUUGCAAUUGAUAUUUUUUCGAAAUUAAUAUUUAUUAUUAUUUUUCGAAAAUUAUGUUAUUUU